ACGGAAGGCAGCAGUAGGGAAUCUUCGGCAAUGGGGGCAACCCUGACCGGGCAACGCUGCGUGAGUGAAGAAGGUUUUCGGAUCGUAAAGCUCUGUUGUAAGAGAAGAACGUGUGUGAGAGUGGAAAGUUCACACAGUGACGGUAACUUACCAGAAAGCGACGGCUAACUACGUGCCAGCAGCCGCGGUAAUACGUAGGUCCCGAGCGUUGCCCGGAUUUAUUGGGCGUAAAGCGAGCGCAGGCGGUUUAAUAAGUCUGAAGUUAAAGGCAGUGGCUUAACCAUUGUUCGCUUUGGAAACUGUUAGACUUGAGUGCAGAAGGGGAGAGUGGAAUUCCAUGUGUAGCGGUGAAAUGCGUAGAUAUAUGGAGGAACACCGGUGGCGAAAGCGGCUCACUGGUCUGUAACUGACGCUGAGGCUCGAAAGCGUGGGGAGCAAACAGGAUUAGAUACCCUGGUA
rnacentral:rRNA from 1 species